rnacentral:rRNA from 1 species
UACAGAGGGGGCAAGCGUUGUUCGGAAUUACUGGGCGUAAAGGGCGCGUAGGCGGCCUCUUAAGUCGAACGUGAAAUCCCCAGGCUUAACCUGGGAACUGCAUCCGAUACUGGAUGGCUUGAAUUCGGGAGAGGGAUGCAGAAUUCCAGGUGUAGCGGUGAAAUGCGUAGAUAUCUGGAGGAAUACCGGUGGCGAAGGCGGCAUCCUGGACCGACAUUGACGCUGAACGGCGAAAGCUAGGGGAGCAAACGGG